rnacentral:rRNA from 1 species
UGGGGAAUAUUGCACAAUGGGCGCAAGCCUGAUGCAGCCAUGCCGCGUGUAUGAAGAAGGCCUUCGGGUUGUAAAGUACUUUCAGCGAGGAGGAAGGCGUUGUGGUUAAUAACCGCAACGAUUGACGUUACUCGCAGAAGAAGCACCGGCUAACUCCGUGCCAGCAGCCGCGGUAAUACGGAGGGCGCAAGCGUUAAUCGGAAUUACUGGGCGUAAAGCGCACGCGGGCGGUGUGUCAAGUCGGAUGUGAAAUCCCCGGGCUCAACCUGGGAACUGCAUCCGAAACUGGCAGGCUAGAGUCUUGUAGAGGGGGGUAGAAUUCCAGGUGUAGCGGUGAAAUGCGUAGAGAUCUGGAGGAAUACCGGUGGCGAAGGCGGCCCCCUGGACAAAGACUGACGCUCAGGUGCGAAAGCGUGGGGAGCAAACA